GAAAUGCGAUAACUAGUGUGAAUUGCAGAAUUCCGUGAAUCAUCGAGUCUUUGAACGCACAUUGCGCCCCCUGGUAUUCCGGGGGGCAUGCCUGUCCGAGCGUCAUUGCUGCCCAUCAAGCACGGCUUGUGUGUUGGGUCGUCGUCCCCUCUCCGGGGGGGACGGGCCCCAAAGGCAGCGGCGGCACCGCGUCCGAUCCUCGAGCGUAUGAGGCUUUGUCACCCGCUCUGUAGGCCCGGCCGGCGCUUGCCGAACGCAAAUCAAUCUUUUUCCAGGUUGACCUCGGAUCAGGUAGGGAUACCCGCUGAACUUAAGC
rnacentral:misc_RNA from 1 species